AAACGCUUGAAGUCAGACGCGUUGGCCAGGGAUCAGCCCCGCUUCUGCGUGGUGUACUUUCUGGUUGACGGGUCAGCAUCAAUUUUGACUGCUGGAGAAAGGCUUGAGGAAUGUGGCAGCUUCGGCUGUGUUAUAGCUUCUUGUCAUAUACAGCAGUUGGGAUUGAGGAACUCAGCACGCCGCAAGGCCGGGUUUCGACCACGUUCGUGCUUAGGAUGCUGGCAUAAUGGCUUUAAGCGA
rnacentral:rRNA from 1 species